rnacentral:rRNA from 1 species
UACGUAGGGGGCAAGCGUUGUCCGGAAUCAUUGGGCGUAAAGCGCGCGUAGGCGGCCCGGUAAGUCCGCUGUAAAAGUCCAGGGCUCAACCCUGGAAAGCCGGUGGAUACUGUCGGGCUAGAGUCCGGAAGAGGCGAGUGGAAUUCCUGGUGUAGCGGUGGAAUGCGCAGAUAUCAGGAGGAACACCGAUGGCGAAGGCAGCUCGCUGGGACGUGACUGACGCUGAGACGCGAAAGCGUGGGUAGCAAACAGG